ACGCCCAUCUGUAACCAUUUUGUAUGGAAUCUUUAAAAAUAGAAUUGAUCCUAUCAUAUUUAUCAACGUUUGAGACUACCUCAUCCCAUAUCUUCGUACUUCAUUACUAGAUUUACGUAGGUAGAUUUAGUGCGGAAGCUAACGAACAGGGUACUGCGUGAGGCCGGUUAACGGAGCAACGAAAACCUGUCUACGAAUGAUAGACCUGGG
rnacentral:misc_RNA from 1 species